AUGAAAUAUUGCAAUCCAAUUGACGCUCCGACGAAACCUCGUCUUGAGCUGAACAAGAAGAGUAAAGCACCCGUAGUUAAUGCAAUAGAGUAUAUUGCAGCUGCCACUGCGGCGUGUGAAGGUGUGUGGCUAGGGCGGCUACACGGUGAUCUCAUGGAUCGAGAUCUGGAACAAGUGGUGCUUAAUGUUGAUAGCAAGUCUGAAAGUUUUCUGCGCGAAGAUCCAGUGCGGCAUGAUAGAAGCAAGCACACUGAUACGGUGUAUCACUACAUAAAGGACUGCGUGAAAGAAGCUAAGAUGAAGGUCAACUACGCUUGCACCGAUGAUCAGAUGGCAGACAUCCUAACCAAGGCUUUGCAUCGAGAGAAGCUCUUGGAGAUGCGAAGAAGGCUCGGAGUCGGAGCUGUGACAUAA
rnacentral:rRNA from 1 species